UUCCAGUGGCAACCAUUGAAAAUGAUCUUU
rnacentral:piRNA from 1 species